rnacentral:tRNA from 2 species
UCCCGGGUAGCUCAGUUGGUAGAGCAGGUGACUGUUAAUCACCCUGUCGGGGGUUCGAGUCCCUCCCCGGGAGCCA